GUAUAUCUAAAGGAUUAAGAAUUUCCAAUUGAUGUUUGUAUAUAGAAAUGCACCUAAUCUGUGUAUAUUCAUCUUGUAUCUACAACCAAGAAACUCAAUGAACUUUGGUACUCUGUGAAUGCUAGAAAAAUAGUGAAAAUCAUGGAGCAACAAAAGAAUUAUCUUUUUUCUUAUGUGAAGUAUAUAUGGGCAUUUGAGAACUCACAAGAGAUGGUUCAUGUCAUUACUGGGGCUGAAGAAAUAAGAAAAAAGAAUGGUUAUUGGAAUCUGAAAACUGGGAGUGCCGAGUGGAUAGAGCUGUGUAACAGGACCUGUGGCCUUAGGCAAGUGACUUAGCCGUGCCAUGCCAACUCUGUUGGGAGAGUCAAGGUCACAGUCUGACAAUGAGAUGAACUAAACUGAGAUUUGGAAGGUAGAAGAAAAAAGAGGAUUAUUCUUCAGAAGCCUUUGAAGCCAAGGGUGUGGGCAGAUGACAGACAAGAAGUUCACAGCAGCUUGCUGACAACAUCCUACAUCUCACCUGCUUUAGGCUUUGUAUAGCUUAGAUAGCUCAUGGUGACUUCUGGAGAAUUGUUCUCCUUGGUAUUGCAGAUUCAAAUAGUCAGUGGAAGCCACUCAGCAGUUCUUGAGAUUUCAGUGACUUCUGGAGGAAUUUUUAAGAACCAUCUACUUUAGUGCCAUAGGCUGGAAAUAUUGGUGAGAGCUUCCCUUUCUUUACUCUCCGAUCCAUACAAUGGUUUUGAAAAACUUUUAGUUUCUUCUAUUGAAAUCCUUCAUACUUGGAAUAAUAAAAUAGCUUCUAUUUUCAUGACCAAACAUUGACUAUUACAAAAAUAUUUCCCCUUAUUUGAGAGCCAAUACACAUGAUAGAAUCUAUACAUGAUAGAUGUGUAGAGGACAAGAUUGUUAUAUGUUUUGGAUAAGUUAGAGAACCUAGCCAGUACUCUUUCUUGAAUGGUAGGCCACCCUACUUUCAAUUCUCCUGUGCUGGUAGACCAGAGGUACUACAGAGUCAAAGAGAGAAACACUCAGAUUAAAAUGAACAAAUAAAAAAUAAAAUUUAAAAAUGUUAUAUUGUUCUUUGAGAAAUAUUUUGUAAUCUGCCUGCUC
rnacentral:lncRNA from 10 species